GGGUCAGCGACUUAUAUUCUGUAGCAAGGUUAACCGUAUAGGGGAGCCGCAGGGAAACCGAGUCUUAACUGGGCGUUAAGUUGCAGGGUAUAGACCCGAAACCCGGUGAUCUAGCCAUGGGCAGGUUGAAGGUUGGGUAACACUAACUGGAGGACCGAACCGACUAAUGUUGAAAAAUUAGCGGAUGACUUGUGGCUGGGGGUGAAAGGCCAAUCAAACCGGGAGAUAGCUGGUUCUCCCCGAAAGCU
rnacentral:rRNA from 2 species